UAAGGAAGUGACGUAAAACUCUAGGUCCACCUUCUUCACAAGUUCAUUCGCCAAAAUAUUUGUCAAUUAUAUUUCACAGUAAGAAUUUACAGCACGACUCAAACGCGGGAACGAAGGUAAAUGACGUUAAUUGCUGAGUGUCUUUUAAUACUGUGUAAGUAUACAUAUUAACACGCGUGCAUUAAAAUGUGUGCAUUUACGGGGCGAUUUCUCAGGCUUAAAAGCUCACCUUUUAUUAAAAAGGUGAACGCAAACUUUUUUCAUUCUGAAGGGCACAAACCACUUCGGACUUCAGCCGUUAAAUGCGCGAAAAUUUCGUUACACCUAAUAAAUGAGCGCAACAUAUUAUCACUUGUAUUGUAUGCUUACAAUACAUGUAAAAAUGUGUUAAUCAUUAAUUAAUAGUAUGGGAUAGUGUUUUUCGACUCAGCUACAGAUGCCGAUGGAGACCAGAACUGCUUUGGAAAAAUAUGAACGCCUUAGGGCCGAUCUGGAAGAAGGCUUAUUGACUGAAAGGGGCUUUCAUGAAAAAGUUAGAGCUUUGCUACAGGAUACGCCCUCUACAAGCCAAGGAAGUAAAAGUAAAGAUGCUGCUUUAAUUUUCAAUGAAAUGAAAAAAGCCAUCCAAGAGAAAACAUCAGUGAAGAAGAAGCAGUUUGCACUAUCUAAAAAGGAGAAACCCUCAUUUAUAAAGGUUUGCUGCAGAUGACUUAACUGAAAAUGAAAUAGUUCCUAUAUGUAUAAUACACAUUUAUCUAUUUGACUUAUGCCUUUAUCCAAGCAACUUGCAACAUCUGAGGUACAAUUCGUUACAUUACUUUUGUUUUUUGCAGCAUAAGCAGGUGAAGUGACUUCCUCAGGGUCACACAGUGGUGUCAGUACCAGC